UCUGACGGAGCACGCCGCGUGAGUGAUGAAGGUUUUCGGAUCGUAAAGCUCUGUUGUUAGGGAAGAACAAGUGCAAGAGUAACUGCUUGCACCUUGACGGUACCUAACCAGAAAGCCACGGCUAACUACGUGCCAGCAGCCGCGGUAAUACGUAGGUGGCAAGCGUUGUCCGGAAUUAUUGGGCGUAAAGGGCUCGCAGGCGGUUUCUUAAGUCUGAUGUGAAAGCCCCCGGCUCAACCGGGGAGGGUCAUUGGAAACUGGGAAACUUGAGUGCAGAAGAGGAGAGUGGAAUUCCACGUGUAGCGGUGAAAUGCGUAGAGAUGUGGAGGAACACCAGUGGCGAAGGCGACUCUCUGGUCUGUAACUGACGCUGAGGAGCGAAAGCGUGGGGAGCGAACAGGAUUAGAUACCCUGGUAGUCCACGCCGUAAACGAUGAGUGCUAAGUGUUAGGGGGUUUCCGCCCCUUAGUGCUGCAGCUAACGCAUUAAGCACUCCGCCUGGGGAGUACGGUCGCAAGACUGAAACUCAAAGGAAUUGACGGGGGCCCGCACAAGCGGUGGAGCAUGUGGUUUAAUUCGAAGCAACGCGAAGAACCUUACCAGGUCUUGACAUCCUCUGACAACUCUAGAGAUAG
rnacentral:rRNA from 1 species